rnacentral:rRNA from 1 species
GAUGAACGCUAGCGGCAGGCUUAAUACAUGCAAGUCGAGGGGCAGCAUGACUGUAGCAAUACAGUUGAUGGCGACCGGCAAACGGGUGCGGAACACGUACGCAAUCUACCCAUAACUGAUGAAUAGCCCUCCGAAAGGAGGAUUAAUACAUCGUAACAUUUUAGAGUGGCAUCACUUUAUCAUUAUAGCUCCGGCGGUUUUGGAUGAGCGUGCGGCUGAUUAGGUAGUUGGCGGGGUAACGGCCCACCAAGCCUGCGAUCAGUAACUGGUGUGAGAGCACGACCAGUCACACGGGCACUGAGACACGGGCCCGACUCCUACGGGAGGCAGCAGUAAGGAAUAUUGGUCAAUGGACGCAAGUCUGAACCAGCCAUGCCGCGUGAAGGAUGAAGGCCCUCUGGGUUGUAAACUUCUUUUAUCUGGGACGAAACCUCUUAUUCUUAAGAGACUGACGGUACCAGAGGAAUAAGCACCGGCUAACUCCGUGCCAGCAGCCGCAGUAACAC